rnacentral:rRNA from 1 species
GGAGUUAGCCGGUGCUUCUUCUGUGAGUGAUGUCCUUCCUGCCGGCUAUUAACCCGCAGGCCUUCUUCCUCACUGAAAGUGCUUUACAACCCGAAGGCCUUCUUCACACACGCGGCAUGGCUGGAUCAGGGUUGCCCCCAUUGUCCAAUAUUCCCCACUGCUGCCUCCCGUAGGAGUCUGGGCCGUGUCUCAGUCCCAGUGUGGCUGAUCAUCCUCUCAGACCAGCUACGGAUCGUCGCCUUGGUGAGCCGUUACCUCACCAACCAGCUAAUCCGACAUAGGCUCAUCCGAUAGCGCGAGGCCCGAAGGUCCCCCGCUUUCCCCCGUAGGGCGUAUGCGGUAUUAGCCUGGGUUUCCCCAGGUUAUCCCCCACUACCGGGCAGAUUCCUAUGCAUUACUCACCCGUCCGCCGCUCGCCACCAGGGAGCAAGCUCCCCGUGCUGCCGCUCGACUUGCAUGUGUUAGGCCUGCCGCCAGCGUUCAAUCUGAGCCAGAAUCAAAACUCUGA